GCGGGCGUAGCUCAGCGGCAGAGCGCCGGCCUACCCGGUCGGAAGCAGGGGAUCGACACCUCUCGCCCGCUCCA
rnacentral:tRNA from 1 species